rnacentral:rRNA from 1 species
CCGGAAUCGCUAGUAAUCGCGGAUCAGAAUGCCGCGGUGAAUACGUUCCCGGGUCUUGUACACACCGCCCGUCACACCAUGGGAGCCGGGAAUGCCCGAAGUCAGUGGCCCAAACCGAAAGGGGGGAGCUGCCGAAGGCAGGCCUGGUGACUGGGGUGAAGUCGUAACAAGGUACC